CUCUGGGCCUGGCUUGCUCUCCCCAAAAUUAAAAGAAAAAAAGGGGAGCCAAGUGGCAACCUCCCUUUCCUCCUCUCUGGCCCCCACUCAAGUGAAGCUAUUGCCUUUGUUUGUUGUUGUUGUUGUUGUUGGACGCGUCCGGUUGCGCGCUCGCUCCCUCCCUCCCCGAGGCGUGUGUGUGACCUGUUGCUUUGCAAAGAGGAGCUCGGAGGGGCCCUUUUGAGUGGCAGCCUCCAUGUCCCGCCUCCCCGCCUAAAACCGCGCGCGGCAGGAUAUAGUGUUGGGGGGGGGGGGGAGCAGAGAGAGAGAGCAGAGAGAGAUAGAAGCCCCGCCCCCUUUCAUGCAAAACUCCCAGCCGAGGCCGGCGCUCAGUGGAGGAGCCGGGCGAGCUCUGAUUGGCCGAGGCGAAGGCAUUUAUUCCCUGACAAGCCCCCCAUCACAUGGAUGGUUGUCUAUUAACUUGUUCAAAAAAGUAUCAGGAGUUGUCAAGGCAGAGAGAGAGAGAGAGAGAGAAAGGCGAGGAGAGAGAGUGAGUUGGGGAAGAAAGAAACAAAACAAAACAAAACAAAACAGGGGGGAAAAGAGAGACUUUUUUUCGCUUCCUCCCUUUGCUGGGCUCUUUAAGACUUAAGAGCUCCCGAAAGAAAGAAAGAAGGAAAGAAAGAAAGAAAGAAAGAAAGAAAGAAAGAAAGAAAGAAAGAAAGAAAGGGGGCUCCGAGCGGAGAGAAAGAAUAGGGACCCCAAAGAGGGGAGACGGACGGACCAGGAGGAAGAAGAAGAAGAAGUUUCUCCAGCAGGACUUUCUCGGAGGCGCUUUUGUUAUGAUUCUCCUCGAGUAGCCAGCUCGCCUGCCGUCCCAAGGAAGGAAGGAAGGAAGUUGGCAGAGAGAGAGAGAGGAAGAAGAGAGAGAGAGAGAGAGGAAGAGGCGAAGGGAGGCUCUGCUGCUUGGGGGGCAGCCUCUCCCUCCCCCGUCCCUCCCCAGGAGCCCAGCCUGAUCCGGAGGGCCACGCUUCCGACUUCUGCCUUGCCGCCUCCUUCCCUGGCUGCCUGGUCCUGGUUUGCGUUCUUCCUCGGCUCCUUGGCCGCCUCUUUGCCUUCCUCCCCACUGUUUCCCCCUUCUCCUCCUCCCGGCUCUUGGGCCUCUCCCCUCCUCCUUUCUCCUCGGAGCCCAUCCGCCCGAGGCCGCCUGCCGCCAUGUACAACAUGAUGGAGACGGAGCUGAAGGCCGCGGGCCCGCAGCAGGCGACGGCGGGGUCCGGGGGCGUCGGCGGCGGCGGGAACAACAACGGCGUGUCCGGCGGCGGCGGCGCCAACAGCCAGAAGAACAGCCCGGACCGGGUCAAGCGGCCCAUGAACGCCUUCAUGGUGUGGUCGCGGGGGCAGCGGCGGAAGAUGGCGCAGGAGAACCCCAAGAUGCACAACUCGGAGAUCUCCAAGCGCCUGGGCGCGGAGUGGAAGCUGCUCUCGGAGGCGGAGAAGCGGCCCUUCAUCGACGAGGCCAAGCGCCUGCGCGCCCUGCACAUGAAGGAGCACCCGGAUUAUAAAUACCGCCCGCGGCGGAAGACCAAGACGCUGCUCAAGAAGGACAAGUACACGCUGCCGGGGGGGCUGCUGGCGGCGGCGGCGGGCUCGGGCGGGCUGGGCGGAGGGGUGGGCGUCGCGGGCUCCGCGCUGGGCCCCGGCGGCUGCGCCCAGCAGCGCAUGGACGGCUACGCGGCGCACAUGAACGGCUGGUCCAACGGCGGCUACGGGAUGAUGCAGGAGCAGCUGGGCUACUCGCAGCACCCGGGGCUCAACGCCCACGCCGCCGCCGCCGCCGCCGCCGCCCAGAUGCAGCCCAUGCACCGCUACGACGUGAGCGCCCUCCAGCAGUACGGCGCCCAGCCCUACAUGAACGGCUCCCCGGGCUACGGCGCCAUGCCGGCCUCCUACGCGCAGCAGGGCGGCUCCUCCUCCGCGCUCUCCGCCAUGGGCCCCGUGGUCAAGAGCGAGGCCAGCUCCUCCAGCCCCCCGGUGGGCAGCGCCUCCGCCCACGCGCGCGCCCCCUGCCAGGCCGGGGACCUCCGGGACAUGAUCAGCAUGUACCUCCCCGCCGCCGAGGCGCCCGAGCCCGGCAGCGCCAGCAGACUCCACCUGGGGCCCCACUACCAGGGCGCCGCGGGGCCCGGGCCCGCCCUCAACGGCACGCUCCCGCUCUCCCACAUGUGACUCUGAGCGGACUCCCACGCUAGUUUUGUACAGAAUCCACCGGACAGGGCCCCCGGAGACUCACGGGGAGGGGGGCCGAGAAAGAGACAGAGAGAAAGAGAGAGAAAGAGACCCCUCCCGCCGUUGAAAGGAGCCAGCCAAGGCCCCUCUCCACUGGCCACUCAAUGCGUCCUAUGUAUCAAGUUUGGGCCAACUUCGGCCUUCCUUCCAGGCGUUUUGGACUUCAACUCCCACCCUUCCUAACAGCCUCAGGCCCCUUCCUUUUCACCCUCAGCCGCUUAAGCGGCUGAGGGUGAAAAGGAAGGGGCCUGAGGCUGUUAGGAAGGGUGGGAGUUGAAGUCCAAAACGCCUGGAACUUUGCCCAUGCCUGCUUUAUCCCCUGCCAAACUACAAACCCCAGGAUUGAGUAGCUAUAAGCGAGAGCAGCCAAAGAACAGCUUAAGCGGCUGAGGGAGGAAAAGAAGGAGUCUUAGGCUGCAAAGGUUCCCCUGAUGUUAAGUCCAGUCAUGUCUGACUCUGGAGAUUGGUUCUCAUCUCCAUUUCUAAGCCGAAGAGCCGGCGUUCUCCUUAGGCUGUUAGGAAUGCUCAAAACACCUGGAGGGAAGGCCCAACUUUGCCCAUACCUGCUAUGUAUGCUUCUCUUUCUUCAAGUCCGGUUCGAAGUUGCAUUCAGUGGUCAAUGCAGAUGGGUUUUUUUUUCUCCUCCUGACCCACAAUAUGUUUUUUCCCCCCUUCCCUUCCUUCUUUCCCCAGGUUCCAACGGAAACAAUACUUUGCAGAAACAGGUGUUUUUGUUUUGUUAUUUUAAUUAAAAAGAGAGGAAACCAUAAUCUUUAGCGGUAGACUCCAGAAAGAAAGAAAGAAAGGUGGGUAGGAAAACAAGGGGGAGGGAGGGGGAGAGGCGAGGGGGAGGGAGGGGCCGGAAGAGAAGGGGAAAUGUUUUAAUAUUUGCAAGCAACUUUUGUACAGUAUUUAUCAAAAUGAACACGCCACCGAGAAGCCCAUUGUUUAUAUGAAAAGAGAGAAAAAAACAAGAGGGAGAGAGAGAGAGAGAGAGGAAAACUUGAGGAUUUGCCAAUUAUUUUUAAAAUACACCUUCAGGGUCUGCUGAAGGCGCUGGGAGAAUUAAUUGCAGAUGGAUUUAUAGCAGCAAAACACACCAUGCAAAAAGGGAGUUGGAUUUUUUAUUAUUAUUAUUAUUAUUAAAACAAAGAUCUGGACGUUUGGGGUUGUUUUAGCAAUUGUACAAAAGGCAAAAAAAAAUAUAAGGAGACAUAGAAUAACUACUUGCAUACCAUGGAACUGUUUUUUUUAAAAUAAAAGGGCAAAGGUUUAGGGUGUACUAAAAGAAUUUUUUUACGCAUUGUUAAAAACAAAACAUUGUCUUGCAGGUUCACACGUUUGUUUAUUUAAAAUAGUCCCUUUUGUUUCCCAACCUGAUUCUGUCCCCUUUUCCCCCUCCCCCUCCCCCAAACAACAGCAAAACAGCAAUCUGAAAUAAUUGUGUUUGAGAUAUUUUCUUAUGGUUUGUAAUAUUUCUGUAAAUUUAUUGUGACGAUAUUUUAAGUUCUUUUAUUAUUAUUUUUUUGUCCCUCCUCAUUUCCCGUAGUUGUACUUUUAAAGACUCGGCUGUGUAUUACCUGAAAUCAGUCCGCCGGCAGUCCAUGUGUAUAUAUAUAUAUAUAUAUAUAUACAUAUACAAAUAGACGCGUGUAUAUCUCCAGGUAUACACCUAUAUGUAUAUAUACACACACUCAUAUAUUUGAACUAAUACCAUCCUUAUAAACAGACUUAAGUUUUUACUCCAUUAUGCACAGUUUGAGAUAAAUAAAUUUUUGAAAUAUGGACACCGCAACCCCACCUGAGUCGUCGUUUUCUUUUUGGAAAGCAGAAUGCAAUUCGGUUUCAGAAAUUCAAACCUUGCCUCUCAAGGACUCCUUAGAGCCGGGUGUGAUUGAAACACUUCUCGUUUGUUGCCAGAAAUCUGUAACGAGGGAAAUGUUCUCUUCUGUGUCUUUCUCAGAAAAAAGUCUUGUGCUAAGAGUGAGUUUUUAAACUGACAGAAGCCAAGGCCUAGCCAGGGAAGGAGGAAGGAAGGAAGCCUUGGCCUGGGAGAGCGCGCUGUGUGUGUUGUUGUGUCGCCGUGGCGGGAUCCCUGCUCCUGGUGUGUCUUUUUUGUGUGCCUUCGAGGUGUUUCCGAACCUUUCCCGGCGAGACGUGUUCAGGGCGGCUUCGGCUUGGCCUCCCUCUGAGAGAGGCCGAGAGAGUGUGACUCGGGACGCGACCCCAGGCCUCCAGGGAAGUCCGAACUGGCCCUCGCUCCACGCCACUUGUUGCCCGGCGGGGUCCACGCGCGAAGCCGAGCUGGAAGCGGAGCCACGCGGAAGAAAACCCGGCCAGCCGAGGAGAGCGGCUUCCCCCACUUCUCGUCUCCUGAACCAGGGCAGCGGUCUUCCCUCGGAAGCCAGGAUAGCCCUGGGUGUGAUUCCCAUUGGUGUCCAUCUAUCAAGCUAUGUGGAUUAAAUGGACCAUCAAUGCAACAUAUUCAAGAGAUGGUCCCAUGACUUGUUUCUACUGUUGAAACCCAGCAUGCAUUAUAAACCAUGAGUUUCCUCAUAGAAGGCAACAGCAGUUCUGCCAAGCUUAAGGUCUUUGAUUGAAAUGAGGAAACAAUUCAGAUUUUUGGUGCUGAUGAUCCACUUUGAGUCCUAGAUUGGGAAAAGACAGGAUCAAAAUAAGUGUAACAGACAUGAAACAAAGAUGGAAGAAGGAGAGAAGGAAGGCAUAUGUGUAUGUAAGUAUGUUCCUUGAAGCCACUUGUUGACUUACGGCAACUCCAUGAAUUUCAUAGGAAUUUCUCGGGCAAAGAAUGCUCAGAGCAAGAAGGAUAAGCUUGGAGUGCCCAGUCGCCGGGGUAACUGCCAGAAAAAUUCUCCAGAAGUUUGAAGAGGUCAGCUAACAGGGUCAACAACUCUGGCCUCUUUCCGAAGAGGGGCGGGCAGGCCCCUCCCGCUGGCCGGGUGCUCAGCAAGGACUAACCCUGGGAGGGGGGGCGUUCCAGCUCUGAUAUAAAUUUUUUGAGUCAGUUCACGGCCUGGAAUCUCCAGGUGGCCUCCAAAAUCGAUGGUGACCCCUUGACCCUGUCUAACGUCGGCAUCGCAUCCAACCUAAGGAAGGAUUUAGGCAGGAAUGACAGCUUUCCGCUGAGUGUUAUUGGGGACAGUACAAACAAUUCGGGAAGCAAGGAGGUAGGUAUGAGGGGACCAAGUCAUUAAAAGCAUAUUAAAAAACAAUUGCAGCGGGUGGAGCGGGAGAAGGCAAAGGAACACUCUGUGUCCUCUGAUAGUCCUUUGAUAGUUAGCAUUUCUUGUUUGUAUUUUGUCAGCAUUUACAAAGAGUAUUUCCCUCUGCAAAGUACUGAAGGGACCGUGAUUUUAAUAUUUAAAAUGUUCUGAUAUUCAGACUAGAAAGUAAGCUUUUUUAUAUACCCUAAGCCAAAAUCAGUUUUGCUUCCAAAUAUAAAUAUCAGGUAGGUAAAUCACACAAUUUUUUUUCCAUGUCAGGAGCAACCGGAGUUGCUUCUGGAGUGAGAGAAUUGGCUGUCUGCAAGGAUGUUGCCCAGGGGAUGCCCGGAUGUUUUUGAUGUUUUACCAUCCUUGUGGGAGGCUUCUCUCAUGUCCCCGCAUGGAGCUGUAGCUGAUAGAGGGAGCUCAUCCACACGCUCCCCGGGUGGGAUUCGAACCUGGCAGCCUUCAGGUCAGCAACCUAACCUUCAAGUCACAAGGCUUUUAUCCCCUAGGCCACCGGAGGCUCCAAUCACACAAAUGAAUUCUGGUAAAUCACACAAAUGAAAUAUGCCAUUUUUCCUCCCUGGAAAUAUAGCUAGAAUUAUUGAAAUUAUGUGUCUCUAUAUAACAUAUGUGUGUCUGUAUUAAAAUGUAUGCCCUA